AGAAAAAUGAAAAAAUCGUGAAAACACUUUGACGGAAACUCCUCUCGUCUCUUUGAAAUCCCUAAAGGGUCAAAACCCUCGUGACUCCUCAAUCUCUCAAAUUCAACUCCAAAAGAAUGACUAUUUCCCUAUGAAAUUUUCUCUCAACCUUAAAUCUCAGCUUUUGAAGACUCACAUACAAGUGAAGAUGCUUGGUUGAAGACUUCAUACAAGUUAACAAGUUGAUUGUCAUUUUGGUAGGACUGUUAGGCAAAAGGUUACCUUAUUUUCGAAGGAUUUAGUUUUUGCUAAGCAACGCUUUAUUUUUUUUUUUUACUACGGAUGUUAAUUUUUCUUUUUUUUCUCAAGGGGUUGCGUAAGCAAUAUAGUGACUGAUACCAUGUUUGUACAAUGAUACUAAUGAGAUAUUAAUACAAUACUUGUAAUUAAUUAUAUGUAUGAAAUUCUGAUAUUUACUGAA